UCCCUAGCAGUCCAGUGGUUAAGACUCUGCACUUCUACUGCAGGAGACACAGAUUCGAUUUCUGGUCAAGGAA
rnacentral:tRNA from 1 species